rnacentral:rRNA from 1 species
AGUGAACGCUGGCGGUAGGCCUAACACAUGCCAGUCGAACGGCAGCACAGUAAGAGCUUGCUCUUACGGGUGGCGAGUGGCGGACGGGUGAGGAAUACAUCGGAAUCUACUUUUUCGUGGGGGAUAACGUAGGUAAACUUACGCUAAUACCGCAUACGACCUACGGGUGAAAGCAGGGGAUCUUCGGACCUUGCGCGAUUGAAUGAGCCGAUGUCGGAUUAGCUAGUUGGCGGGGUAAAGGCCCACCAAGGCGACGAUUCGUAGCUGGUCUGAGAGGAUGAUCAGCCACACUGGAACUGAGACACGGUCCAGACUCCUACGGGAGGCAGCAGUGGGGAAUAUUGGACAAUGGGCGCAAGCCUGAUCCAGCCAUACCGCGUGGGUGAAGAAGGCCUUCGGGUUGUAAAGCCCUUUUGUUGGGAAAGAAAAGCAGCAGGUUAAUACCCCGCUGUUCUGACGGUACCCAAAGAAUAAGCACCGGCUAACUUCGUG